rnacentral:rRNA from 1 species
AGCGAACGCUGGCGGCAGGCCUAACACAUGCCAGUCGAACGAACCUUUCGGGGUUAGUGGCGGACGGGUGAGUAACACGUGGGAACGUGCCUUUAGGUUCGGAAUAACUCAGGGAAACUUGUGCUAAUACCGAAUGUGCACUUCGGGGGUAAGCUUUAUCGCCUUUAGAGCGGCCCGCGUCUGAUUAGCUAGUUGGUUGAGGUAAUGGCUCACCAAGGCGACGAUCAGUAGCUGGUCUGAGAGGAUGAUCAGCCACAUUGGGACUGAGACACGGCCCACACUCCUACGGGAGGCAGCAGUGGGGAAUCUUGCGCAAUGGGCGAAAGCCUGACGCAGCCGUGCCGCGUGAAUGAGGAAUGUCUUAGGAUUGUAAAAUUCUUUCACCGGGGACGAUAAUGACGGUACCCGGAGAAGAAGCCCCGGCUAACUUCGUG